rnacentral:rRNA from 1 species
UACAUGGGGUGCGAGCGUUAAUCGGAUUUACUGGGCGUAAAGGGCGCGUAGGUGGUAAAGCAAGUAAGAUGUGAAAGCCCUGGGCUUAACCUAGGAAGUGCAUCUUAAACUGCUUAACUAGAGUAUGGUAGAGGGUAGUGGAAUUUCCGGUGUAGCGGUGAAAUGCGUAGAGAUCGGAAGGAACGCCAGUGGUGAAGACGACUACCUGGACCAAUACUGACACUGAGGCGCGAAAGCGUGGGGAUCAAACAGG